UCUAGGGUAUAAAUAUCCUAAAGGCAGCAGAUCCCAUCUGAUCUUGGAAACUAAGCAGUGUCAGCCCAGGUUAGCACUUGAAUGAGCGAUCACCCAACAAAUACCAGGUGCUAUUAGCU
rnacentral:rRNA from 11 species